AUUGAACGCUGGCGGCAUGCCUUACACAUGCAAGUCGAACGGCAGCAUGAUCUAGCUUGCUAGAUUGAUGGCGAGUGGCGAACGGGUGAGUAAUACAUCGGAACGUGCCCUGUAGUGGGGGAUAACUAGUCGAAAGAUUAGCUAAUACCGCAUACGACCUGAGGGUGAAAGUGGGGGACCGCAAGGCCUCAUGCUAUAGGAGCGGCCGAUGUCUGAUUAGCUAGUUGGUGAGGGAAAGGCUCACCAAGGCGACGAUCAGUAGCUGGUCUGAGAGGACGAUCAGCCACACUGGGACUGAGACACGGCCCAGACUCCUACGGGAGGCAGCAGUGGGGAAUUUUGGACAAUGGGGGCAACCCUGAUCCAGCAAUGCCACGUGUGUGAAGAAGGCCUUCGGGUUGUAAAGCACUUUUGUCCGGAAAGAAAUCGCACUUACUAAUAUUAGGUGUGGAUGACGGUACCGGAAGAAUAAGGACCGGCUAACUACGUGCCAGCAGCCGCCGUAACAC
rnacentral:rRNA from 1 species